UUGUUCCAUUGGGUUGGAUUCUACAAUUCUAGCAAUCCAAUUCGAGUUCUAAAAUUACCAUUCAAAAAAAAAAUUGGAGUUCUAAAAUUUUUGAAUCCAUUGAAGUCGUUUUGGUUUUGGUUCAGCCUAAAAUGGGUCCGAACCGGACCGGGUGCACUCCUGAAUCAGCAGAAGGUUAGCAACACACGCACGCCACACGGGCGCUUAGGAUUCACCUUGCCAAGUUAAAAAAGGAUCUAAAAACCCUAAAAGGCUCUCUUUUGAGGGCUUUGAAAAUGUUCAGUCGAAGGAGGUUUCUUUCGUUGCCUAUGGUGAUUGGAGCUGUUGUGAUUGGAGUUGUUUCUGGAAAAGCAAUAUUUGGACCAGCACUUGAUGAAUAUUGGAAAAAGAAGCUUCAGGAAGAGGCAGCAGCUAAGGAGAAUGAUGCAAGCUCCACCUAGGUGGCUUUUAAAAUGAAUUGGUUUAUGGUUGAGACAAGAAUGUGUUUGUUGAGUUUACUUGGCUUCUUUAUGUAGAGAUGGGAGCAACAAGUUUAAAUUUUUUUUCCACUUCGACAACAACAUCAGUUUGUGUAUGUUGUUGUCUUACUCUUAAGACAGGAAUCAGUCAGAAGGCAAUGCAUUGGAUGCACCUGGGUCUUUAGCUUCAUCUGAUUUUACAUGAGAGAACUCGUGUCAGUUUGUGUGUCAACUGGUGAUUGGCCCAAGAGUCGGGAUCCGGGACUAUGUAAUAAUUUCUCAUACACGUGUCACCAACUUGGAUAGUACUUUUAAAGCAUUACAUGUCCUUUUAAAGAAAAUAUGAUUGUUUGGCAA